CCGCUGGUAUCCCGGCAACACUGCUGGCCAUCUCGGUAGAAGGACUGUCGAUCUGCAGCACCGGGAGUCUCACGCCCUGGCCUGGACCGACUGGCCCGUUGGGGCCCUGGUUGUGGCGUGUUGCUGACCAGGCCCAGCGAGUGGCUUCCAGGGUAGAGAGGGGCAUAGUGGCCCGACUUCUCCGCAACACACACGCCAUGUUGAACGUGCCAUUCAGAUGCAAGAAAGUGCAGAUCUCAUCCUAUUUUUCAUCCACCAGUAUCUGUCCAUCCCUCUCUGUCAUCCACCAGUAUCUGUCCAUCCCUCUCUGUCAUCCACCAGUAUCUGUCCAUCCCUCUCUGUCAUCCACCAGUAUCUGUCCAUCCCUCUCUGUCAUCCACCAGUAUCUGUCCAUCCCUCUCUGUCAUCCACCAGUAUCUGUCCAUCCCUCUCUGUCAUCCACCAGUAUCUGUCCAUCCCUCUCUGUCAUCCACCAGUAUCUGUCCAUCCCUCUCUGUCAUCCACCAGUAUCUGUCCAUCCCUCUCUGUCAUCCACCAGUAUCUGUCCAUCCCUCUCUGUCAUCCACCAGUAUCUGUCCAUCCCUCUCUGUCAUCCACCAGUAUCUGUCCAUCCCUUUAUAUAAUCAACCAGUAUCUGUCCAUCCCUCUAUAUCAUCCACCAGUAUCUGUCCUUCCCGCUAUAUCAUCCACCAGUAUCUGUCCAUCCCUCUAUAUCAUCCACCAGUAUCUGUCCAUCCCUCUAUAUCAUCCACCAAUAUCUAUUCAUCCCUCUAUAUCAUCCACCAGUAUCUGUCCAUCCCUCUCUGUCAUCCACCAGUAUCUGUCAUCCCUCUCUGUCAUCCACCAGUAUCUGUCAUCCCUCUAUAUCAUCCACCAGUAUCUGUCCAUCCCUCUAUAUCAUCCACCAAUAUCUAUUCAUCCCUCUAUAUCAUCCGCCAGUAUCUGUCCAUCCCUCUCUGUCAUCCACCAGUAUCUGUCAUCCCUCUCUGUCAUCCACCAGUAUCUGUCAUCCCUCUCUGUCAUCCACCAGUAUCUAGCCAUCUCGCUCUGUCAUCCACCAGUAUCUAGCCAUCUCGCUCUGUCAUCCACUAGUAUCUAUCCAUCCUUCCAUCUGUCUCUACCAGUAUCUAUCAUCCCAAUAUCUCUCUCCUCCAC
rnacentral:lncRNA from 1 species